UCGGUGGGAGUGCUGCGAUAGCUGCUCCCGAGGAGGAGACGGAGAUCGAUGCGGGCAUCGGCGGCUGCUCUUGGAGGGCAUCGAACGCACCGCCGGUUGCUCCGUCGACGAGCGCGGCAACCGGAUGGGUUGAAGGCUUUUGACCGCGUCCGUCAACACGGUCAUCUGCCGCACGAUCGCUGCGAUCUGCACCUCCGUGGUCACCAUGGAAUGGAG
rnacentral:lncRNA from 1 species